CACCAUGCACACCACCGCACCGUCGGAUUUGUUUAUGCCAAUUUGAAAAGGAAGAGUAAAUACAACACAAAAGACAGGACAAUUCGGGAAGGAGUAAGUGGAACAUGGAUAGAUAUGAAGAGUCUCAAGAUGUCGAUAUAACCAUUCUUCCAGAGAAUGAGCAGCCAAGACAUACUUCGGAUUGUAGUGACAUUUUACCUAACUUCCAGUUGUUGGAUGGACGUGGAGCUGUACAGAACAGCACCGACAGCACUGACAGAACCAUUGAAGGGUUUGUGGCUCUCAAAAUAACUUACGACCAUGUCUU